AGUGGAAUUGCUGGGUCAUAUGAUAUGUGUAUGUUUAAAUUUUUAAGAAACUGACAAACUAUUUUUUAAAGUGUCUGUACCAGUUUGCACUUCCACCAGCAAU
rnacentral:pre_miRNA from 1 species